ACGGGUGUAGCUCAAUUGGCAGAGCAGCGGUCUCCAAAACCGAAGGUUGUGGGUUCAAGUCCUUCCACCCGUGCAA
rnacentral:tRNA from 1 species